AAAUAUAAAUUACUUUUUCAAUUAUUAAAAUAAAUGAGUUAUAAAUAUGAAUUGAAGAAUCAUAUUUUAGAGAAAAAUAAGUGAUUAAAUAGUAUAAGGAUACAUCACUUAUUAAAGAUUAAUUAAUAUAUUUUAUUAAAUGAUUGCUUGCUUGUACUUGUCGUUUUUGAGUUUAGUAAUUGUAUAUAACCCAAACCUUAAAAGUAACAUAUUUCAGACACAAUUGGCUCAGCGACAACUAGCGCCAACUAGUCGAGAAAAUCUAUAAGAGAAUCUAAUUGUAAACACGUUGUAGUCUGAUAUGUCAAUUACGUAGUUUUAUUCUAACAUCACAUUGUGCUCUGAACAUGACUAGCUGCUGUGACAUUAUGAGAGAUCCUGCUCUUUUAUAGACUUUAUGUAACCAAUAAUACAUUCAUCUUUAAGAAGUAUUGUCGCUUGUUAUCACUUGUUACGACAUUUGUCGAAAGAAAUGGAAGAUUACGAAGUAAAAUAAUUUGGAAAUAUGGAAUAGAUAAUUAAGUAGCAGAUUAGUCAAUUAAUAAGAAUAAAAAAAUUUGGAAAAACGAAAAAAGAAACAUAAUUCAUUGGAUAGGUAACCAAAAACUUAGACGUUAAAUAAUCGUAUAUUAAUUUAUUAAUCUAACUCUUUAAAUAUUUUUUAUAAUCAAAGAGAAGAGAAAUAUAUCGUGUUAUAAAUAAAUAAUAAUUUAUAACUAAAUCUUUUUCCUUUUGAUAGUUGAACAUUUAAUUAUUUAGUAUUUUAUUCAAUGUUGUAUAUUUCCCAAAACACGCUAUUAGCUUACUAGAUUUUAGAUGCAUGUUGGUA